rnacentral:rRNA from 1 species
AAUGAACGCUGGCGGCAUGCCUAACACAUGCAAGUCGAACGAAGGCUUCGGCCUUAGUGGCGCACGGGUGCGUAACGCGUGGGAAUCUGCCCUUGGGUUCGGAAUAACAGUUAGAAAUGACUGCUAAUACCGGAUGAUGUCGUAAGACCAAAGAUUUAUCGCCCAAGGAUGAGCCCGCGUAGGAUUAGCUAGUUGGUGGGGUAAAGGCCCACCAAGGCGACGAUCCUUAGCUGGUCUGAGAGGAUGAUCAGCCACACUGGGACUGAGACACGGCCCAGACUCCUACGGGAGGCAGCAGUGGGGAAUAUUGGACAAUGGGCGAAAGCCUGAUCCAGCAAUGCCGCGUGAGUGAUGAAGGCCUUAGGGUUGUAAAGCUCUUUUACCCGGGAUGAUAAUGACAGUAACCGGGAGAAUAAGCUCCG